rnacentral:rRNA from 1 species
CCUACGGGUGGCAGCAGUGAGGAAUAUUGGUCAAUGGGCUUACGCCUGAACCAGCCAAGUCGCGUGAGGGAAGACUGCCCUAUGAGUUGUAAGCCUCUUUUGUCAGGGAGCAACGCCGGCUACGGGUAUCCGGACUGACAGUACCUGAAGAGAAAGCAUCGGCUAACUCCGUGCCAGCAACCACGGUAGUACGUAGGAGGCAAGCUUUAUCCGGAUUUAUUGGGUUAAAGGGGUUCGCAGGCGGUCUGUUUAGUCAGCGGUCAAAGCCCGGGGCUCAACCCCGGCCCGCCGUUGAAACUGGCAGUCUAGAGUUGGAGAGAAGUAUGCGGAAUGCGCGGUGUAGCGGUGAAAUGCAUAGAUAUCGCGCAGAACUCCGAUGGCGAAGGCAGCAUGCCGGCUCCACACUGACGCUGAGGCACGAAAGCGUGGGUAUCGAACAGGAUUAGAUACCCCGGUAGUC